UAUGGGUUGCAAAGUUUUAAUUAGUUUAUCAACACCCCAGUAAAGGAAGAGGAACAGUCAAGAUUGGGCACAAAGAAUAGACCAACUGUGAAGUCGGCCUGAUAGUGCCAUGACUCAAGCAAUGGAGAAUUCUGGGCAGCGUCAUCAUUGUUCUUGGUCACCGGAUGUGCGUUCUGCGGAAGGGUGUGACUUCCGGUGGCUCUCUUACUGCAGCCGGUACCUAAGGGAAUGACAACCGAAGGGUUUCUUCUUGCUGUACUACUUACGACUGGAGUGGGCUGAUCCUCUGAAAGCUCAAGUGAACAUACGGAAACAAAAUCCCGUGGGAGUGUUUGUAGUCAACACUACCCCGAAUUCCUUGGAAAGAAGGAGCUGCUGUGUGUAAGAUAUCUUGUAGAAGCACUUCCCUUAAAACUACACAUUUUAUUAUUAACAUCAAGCAAAUGUUAACAAUUGCACACUAGUUGUGUCGUGCUUUUUACGUUUUUGCAUUAUGGUUAUACAUUUGUUUAUAGGAGGUUUUGAGGCGUUGAUGGUACUGAGUUUUCUUUUCAGAGCUACCCACAGAAAUGAAAAAAUGGACAGGAAAUCAUUUAUGUGCUUUCUCUGGAUCAAUAAUCUCUGAGUCUGACUGAUUAGUGUCCUCAAAUGCUAUCAAAGCUGAUUGCACAACCCCGAGAAUAAAGGUGUAGGUGGUGCAAAAAGGAUUACCGUUCUCACUGUGAACUCCGUUUCUGGGUUUUUUUUUUUCCUUUCAGGUUACAGAAGGAAGAGCCUAAAGAAAAAUGUAGGUCAAGUGCUUUUAUCCUCUACAAAUUUCACAACAGCAAUCAUGAAAUCACAGUGACUGGCCCUGAUUUUCAAUGGUGGGAAAGAAGGGCAAUAGGGGCUGGACCUCACAUGCUCCUCCGAGAGGAAGAAGCCUCAUCGUCAAAAGGUGACAAGGCCCCCAUCCGCAGAUGGAAACAGCAGAGGAGCAAGGCCAUCUGCGAUCUCCCAAAGCAAGUAAAA
rnacentral:lncRNA from 1 species